UCGAACGGCAGCACGGACUUCGGUCUGGUGGCGAGUGGCGAACGGGUGAGUAAUGUAUCGGAACGUGCCUAGUAGCGGGGGAUAACUACGCGAAAGCGUAGCUAAUACCGCAUACGCCCUACGGGGGAAAGCAGGGGAUCGCAAGACCUUGCACUAUUAGAGCGGCCGAUAUCGGAUUAGCUAGUUGGUGGGGUAACGGCUCACCAAGGCGACGAUCCGUAGCUGGUUUGAGAGGACGACCAGCCACACUGGGACUGAGACACGGCCCAGACUCCUACGGGAGGCAGCAGUGGGGAAUUUUGGACAAUGGGGGAAACCCUGAUCCAGCCAUCCCGCGUGUGCGAUGAAGGCCUUCGGGUUGUAAAGCACUUUUGGCAGGAAAGAAACGUCAUGGGCUAAUAUCCCGUGAAACUGACGGUACCUGCAGAAUAAGCACCGGCUAACUUCGUGCCAGCAGCCGCGGUAAUACGUAGGGUGCAAGCGUUAAUCGGAAUUACUGGGCGUAAAGCGUGCGCAGGCGGUUCGGAAAGAAAGAUGUGAAAUCCCAGAGCUUAACUUUGGAACUGCAUUUUUAACUACCGGGCUAGAGUGUGUCAGAGGGAGGUGGAAUUCCGCGUGUAGCAGUGAAAUGCGUAGAUAUGCGGAGGAACACCGAUGGCGAAGGCAGCCUCCUGGGAUAACACUGACGCUCAUGCACGAAAGCGUGGGGAGCAAACAGGAUUAGAUACCCUGUAGUCCACGCCCUAACGAUGUCAACUAGCUGUUGGGGUCUUCGGACCUUGUAGCGCAGCUAACGCGUGAAGUUGACCGCCUGGGGGAGUA
rnacentral:rRNA from 1 species